rnacentral:lncRNA from 1 species
ACGCCCGCAAUCUCCGUCGCUCCCAUGCCUCAGCAGUGACGGGCAUGGCCAAAACAGCGUCGCGCACUGUGUAGGAUAACAGUGGGUACUUUUCUCCCCUUUAAUAUUUCCUUCCCCCUCUCCUUGCAUCCUGUUCGCCUUAGCCUCCAAACUGACUACUCGAAUCCUUCUUCGUCGCUGCUCCUCACUUUCGUUUUGCCACCCACUGUCAUCAUGGGAGCGUUUGGUGUGGUCUUGGUGCCCGCCAUGCCCUAGCCUUUGUCGGCUGCUCCGUAAGCCUAGGUUUGCUCGGCUACAUCCCUUCAGUUCGUGUGCCUCUGCAUUUGUCGGCUCUUUAGGUAUUUGCUUCGUUAGGGUGGUAUUGGCAUGGUUAAUUUCUCACUCCAUUGAUUAUUUGUGUUAGCAUUUGGUAUGUUGACAUGGUUGUCAGGGCUUAGGUAGCACUCAUAGGUCCCGAGUUUGACUCCAGUAUUCUAUUGCCUGCACCCAUAGCAAAUCGAUUCCAGUUGAGUGGCUGCUACCCGAGCUCGGGAUGCUUGAAGGGCUACCUAAAAUAACAUUCAGUAAAACAUGGGUGGUACUGGUAUUGGUACCCGAGCUCUAUGGGCGCUACCUCCUCUAUCUUCCUGAGCUUAGGUAGCAUCCAUAGGUCGUGAGACCUAUGUAUUGUCCCAUAAAUCAAGCCCAAAUCUGAUUAGGUACCAUUAGGUACAGAUUCCGGAUCAAACUCGAUUCGGUCUGGAUGUAGCCAUUUUUUAAGUUAUGCACAAGCUAACUGUUUUUGUCAUCUACGAGAUGCAAAAAUGUUUUUCUCUGCUUCAUUGCAUGCAUAUCGUCCUCUAAAAGGGCACUAGCCUCUACUUAUCUGUGUACAUGUCCUUGUUGUUUGGUUAAUUCUUAUGAGCUGUUUUUUUUCCAGUUGUCUGGGUGCUUCCUGCCUAGGUGACUUUUGUCGCAACUUGGAGGAGACCACUCACCAGUUUGCCUUUCCGAUUGGUGAGUAUGUAUGCCUAUGCACCAAGCCCUUUUUUAAGUCAUAUUUAGAUAGCCAGAUUGCUAAUGGAAAGCCUUGCUUUGGAAAGCUUUCUGAAAGCAAAUUUAUACAAACAUUCAACUACAUAUUCAGAUAGUCAGAUUGUUGAUGGAAUUGUUUUGCUCAUUGUUUUUUAAAGCAAUUGCUAUCUAGCUUCCAAGCAAAUGGUAACAUUUUGUGCUCGCUUUGGUUUCAGGAAUUUCCUGUCCUUGUCCAUGUUCUCGCAGAGGAGAUGGGCUGGUUUAUGAGAACAUUUGAGGAUGGGAACACAGCUAGCAGCAUAGGAUCCAUGACAUAACAGGUGAGGUUUUCUGAACAACAUGGUUCUGUCCAUGUAAAAACUAAACGAUCUUUUUAGUGUAUAUGCCCAUAGUUUCUAAAGUUUAUCUUUAAAAUUGUACCAUUGUACAUGCUAUGAAUUAUCAGCUACCAUUAAUGUUCUAUUAGUUUAGUUUUAAAAUUUAUGCUCAAACUAUAUUGCUAUAUUUUUUAACCCUAAACUAAACACAUAUUUUUACCAGAACAAUUAUGUCUUAGCCAAAAAUGUUGGUCUACCAUCACAAAGAAAUAGAUUGUACUUGCACGAUUUCAUGAAAAUAGAAUUUUAACGCACCAUAAGCCUCUUUAUUGAUGAUUUGGUAAUUCCAGUUGGAACCUCAAUUUUUUCUAUGGGUUAUGUUCAUUUAAUGUUACUUGUAUCAACCGUGUACUUUUGUAAGCCUUCUAGACUCUCGCCUUAUUUCAGUCUUUGACUAUUUCUAUAAUUUCCAUAGAUAAGCUUCAGUUAUUGGUUGAUGUUAUUUUCUCAUCUCUCAGUUUAUACCUGCUAGCAUGCCUAGAGUUAACUAUAUAUCUACUCUCUUGUGGUAUUUUGUGUAGCCCUGUUAAUUAUUGUGCAGCAGCGGAGAAGAUCGAGAAGACUGUCGCACGCGUUUGCUAUAGGGAGUAGACUGUCGAGAAGACUGUCGCACGCGUUUUCGAAUAAGUGAGUACCAAUUUCCAUCAUAACUAAAACAUUGAAUUGUGACAGUUUGCUUUCUUCUAGCAGUGCCUUGGCAUUAGUAGAUCCCUUAGCUCAAUGCCAAAUCAGAAAGUGACGUUUUCCCACAAAUAAUUGUUUCCCACAAAUGCAAGCAUCCCAGUCGUUACAAUAAAGAGAAUCGCAAUUUGCAUUUAUGUAAAUCUUGUGUGCUUUAUAACAAGAGAUCCAUUUAAUAUACUCCUAGCUUCAAUUUCACAUGAUAGCUUCAUUUUUCCAAUCCCCUCCAUUCUUGUUGCUUCCAUACUAGCCCUUAGAGUGUUGAUCAAGCCGACGGUCUCCAUAGAAGCAACCUGCAAGGUUAGUCCAGCAAGUAGCACCAAUUAUAGUCUGUAAGAAUAGCAAUACUAAAUCUUCUAUGUGAAAUUUAUGCAUUGGCAGCGUACAUGGAUUAGUAGUUUUGUGAGACAAAGUUAAAUAGAGGCAACACAGGAGAAUUGGGACAGGGUGCACGGUUCCACACAUAUUCUUAUGCUUGUGUGAUGGCUUGAUUCUUUCCUCUGAAAGUAAUUCUUAAGCUAUGAUUUAUUUUCUGCAGGUCCAGUUUUUCGCCUCUGUUUUAUGCACUUAAUGAAUAAACUAGCCUUUCAUGUUUUGUCCUUCAGUGUAACUUGAUUUUGUUACCUAUUGCUUUCACUUUCAAUGAUUUUGGUUUAUUCUGUUAUGCUGUUAUCAUGUGGCAUUUUUUCAUCUCAUCAAUAUCACAAAUUCUAUCCUCUUCAUAAUGUUGCUAGCUCUUAGGAGAUCCUAAAUGAAUGUAUAUCUGAUCUCGGUCAUGCAGAUGCAUCAUUUUAGUGGUUGUUGGUAAUCCGAUCUGUGAUAUUAUCGAACACAUUGAUUUAAAAACUCGGCCGGAGAGGAAAAGACCGCCCUCCUGGUCUUAACCAUCCUACAAAAAGAUUUAAAAGUUCUGAUGAAAAUAAAAACAACCCAAUUAAAGUGGAAUCCAGAUUCAAGUUCUCAAUUUAUGGAGAGCAAUGUAAAUUUUAUGCACACGUUCUUUAUUUGGACAAUCUUGAAACCACAAAGGAUUAACCUCAUUCUAUUUUUGUUGUUGUUAUUGAUGUGAUCAUUGAAAGAGAAAUCGUGUCAGUAUUGCAGUCAUGACAUAAGAAGCCACGAUGAAACUUUUAACAGACAAAAAACAUUUUGCGGUCAUAUGUGGCUAUCAAAACAUGGAUUUUGAACAAAAUUAUUUUAGAUUAUUUUAAAAGUACCCGCCCUUUUGGCUCGGCAGGGCGCCGCAAAGCGCGCAACUUCUUCUAGUUAAGGUUAACGGAGGAACACUCUAGGUCCGCAAAGGUAGCAAGUAAAGUAUACUAACAUCAUAGAUGGUUCAGUGUUGACACACUAAUUAAUUAUAUGACUGUAUAUAAGUUUAUUUUUUUCUUCAUGGUGUGCUGCACAGAUAUAGAUAGGGCCUUAGACUAUUACACGGUAAACUGAACGCCGAGCAAGCAAAAAAAUUAUCAAUUUUUUGUCUUUCAGGUUUAGAUUCGGUACGUUUUAGGGCUUGUUUGAGAUAGCUUCAUCUGUUUUCGACUAUAACAUCCAGACCACUCUCGAAUCGACGGUACUUACUCCUGCCUACUCACCUAACAUACCAACAUGAGUCUUUUCCACGCAAUUUAUCCUCACUCAUUCGCACCGGAAAAACUUCCCGUUUCACACUUUGUCCUCAUCCACUCGCACCAAGAAAACUUUUCGUUAGUUCACCUAUCCUAAAAUUACUCUGAGCCAAGCACGCUUAACUCAAAGGUUUUUUUUGAGGUGUCAGGGAUAAGAUCUUCGGGCCCAUGGGGCUCACAAGUCAGCAGGAGGACAAGGGAAAGAUCCACCCUGGAAGCACCCACCCUCGGAUAGUCUCGAGGGACUGAGCCCGGACCGAGUGAGGCGGAGCCAGAAUGGGGGGUCGGUCGAACGGAAAGGAAGCCACUCGAGUGGAUUCUACAUCUGACCCAAGACUGACUCGCCAUAAGUGAUCGACCGCAUUAACUACACCUGGCACCAAGUCGUGAUGGGAGAGUCGUUCCUCCUCCCACUCAUGACAUACGGACACCUAGUCCUGCAGCCCACUCAUGGCCUAUCAAACCUAGACCUGAGUGCAUUGGCCGUCUACAGGACCCGUAACACGACGAGACACGCCGAGACCCAGGCUAUGGAGGCCAGGGGUCGACGUGGCAUAGAGACGGUAAUGAUGGUGUCGGAGCUCUUCGCCGCCAACACAACUAGUCUUAAAGAGCACGGCCAGAGAACCCGACCAAGGCACAUGCCGACAAGCAUGACUUUACCAAGAUAGAACACCUCGUUUUACCCACGGUACAGUAGCUCCUUCCUUAAGAAGCUACCGGUAGCCGACUCCCACCUUGGCCUAUCAAAAGGGAAGGGUCGGCCAAGAGACACACGAAGAGGCAUACGCAGACAUAGAGACAGACCAAUGACAGAAGACAGACAGACAGACGACCACUUGCCAGAGGACUACAAAGGUCGAAGCUAAGGAGCAUGCCGCCAUGACGUGCAAGGCUUAGCUACAUUUAGAGCACUAGAUUCGUAGUCCUUAGGCCACUCCACACAUAAGGGAUUUGGGAGACUCCUUCCUCUCUCGCCUGCUUGUAACCCCUACUACGAACAUUGAGCAACAAGGUGUCGGUAGUGUGAGUCACCGAAGACUAGAUAUAGGGACGUUUUGCUCGAACCAGUAUAAGGGUCUGUUUGGUUGGGUUGUGGCUGUGAAAAAAGCUGAUGUGGGCUAUGAGCUGCGAAAAAGCUGUUGUGGACUAUGAACUGCUAAAAAGCUAAAAACUGAUUAGUGAAAACCACUAAAAAAGCUAAAAAUUGUUCCACAUAUAUUUUUACAGUUUCAAAAGCCGCUAAAAGCAGGUCCAGAGGUGCUUUUAGUUUUACACUGCGAGAAAGUUGACUUUUUAAAAAACUGCUUUCUAGAUCCAACCCUUUAGUUUAGCUUUUUGCUUUUACGGGGCAAAAGCCAAAGACAAAAGCCAAACCAAACAUACCCUAAAUCUCACACCCACUAAGCACACUAUUCGGACUCUAAAACACACACAAACAAAUUUACUUGUCGGAGCUGGUUCAAAACACCGAUAGAAGGUGCACCUUAUUUGUAUGAGUAUUCUACCAAUCCUAUUAAACCUUAUGCCAGUAAAUCACACAAUCCACCUGGACCAAGAUAUCAUAGAGAUUUACUAAAAACAGUUCUACCUCAUGAAAAGUUAGCCAAAUAGUUCAGAUCCAUCAAAUCUAAAUUCACCAAAAUGGUAGAUCUAGAGAUUAGCUUUGUCAUUUUGGUGGAGCACCUAAAGGUGAGAGCACCUAGAGGGGGUGAAUAGGUGAUCCUGUAAAUUCAAAAACUAAAUAGCCACAAACUUGAUUAUAGAAGUAUUAGUGUGAGUUAAUCAAGUCACUAUGAAGUGAUCUCUUGUGAACAAAAUAGUAAUAGAGAAAAGCAACACAAGAGACACACGAUUUUUAUCCCGUGGUUCGGCCAAGUAACACUUGCCUACUUCCAUGUUGUGGCGUCCCAAUGGACGAGGGUUGCACUCAACCCCGUUCAAGUGAUCCAAUGAUCAACUUGAAUACCACGGUCUUUUCUUUUUGAGUAGUCUUCCCGUUUGCGAGGAAUCUCCACAAGUUGGAGCCUCUCGCCCUUACAAUAUAGAUCACAGAGAAAGCACAAGAAUAAGGAUGGGAGAGCAAUACACAGAAGAUCCAAAUCCACAGCACACACACGCACACAAGCCAAGACUUGAGCUCGAAACACGGUAUAUAGAGUUCGCAACUUAAACAGAGCUCAAAUCACUAACACAGUCGAUCAAAUGCGUGGAGGCGGAGUCUGGGAGUCUUAGAAUGCUUAGAGAAUGCUUGGUGUACUGCUCCAUGCGCCUAGGGGUCCCUUUUAUAGCCCCAAGACAGCUAGGAGUCGUUGGAGAUCAACAUGGAAGGCUAUUCUUGCCUUUUGCCGGGUGGCGCACCGGACAGUCUGGUGCACCACCGAACAGGUCCUGUAGCUGUCCGGUGCGCGAUCUCCUACCAUAUCGGGCGCAUCCGACCGUUGAGCCGGUGGUCCCGUUGGUUCACCGGACACUGUCCAGUGCACACCGGACAGUCCGAUGUGCCCAACCGACCGUUGGCUCGGCCACUUGUCGCCCGCAGAUUUCGCUGCUGAUCGUUGGCCGCGAGCGCCGUUGGCUCACUGGAUAGUCCGGUGCACCACUGGACAGUCCGGUGAUUUUUAGCGAAGUCGCCUGCAGUUUCCCAAGAGCAGCCAGUUCACCGUCGGCCAGCCUGCACCACCAGACAUUGUUCGGUGCACCACCGGACAGUCCGGUAUGCCAGGCCCGAGCUGGUUUUGGCUGUACACAGCCAACUCUUUUCCAACUCCCUUCUUCUUCUCUUGGCUCUGUUUCUAGCACUUAGAUAAACACGUUAGUAUUCAAAAACAAUUUACUAAGUCUAGAAACAUACCUUGUUCUUUAAUUUGCACUUCUCACACAUUUGGCACAUAAGAACUCAAUUAAUAUGUGUUGGGCAUGUAAUUACCAAAACUCUUAUAGAAAUGGCCCAAGGGCACAUUUCUCUUUCAAUCUCCCUCUUUUUGGUGAUUUAUGCCAACACAUUAAAAAAACAACAAAAGAAGUGCAACAUCAAUGCAAAUGAAGAUGAAAGUAGCCUAGAGGGGGGGUGAAUAGGCUACACCUGAAAAUUUUCACUAAAAACUUCGAAAUAGGUUAAAUUAAAGUUGCACGGGUGCAAACCGGUUCAGUCGAUUUUAAUCACAACUGAACAAGUUUGAACCCACUCAACUUGAAUUUAAUAAUCUAUUGAACAAAUUCGAAGUAGUAAAGAAAAUAGCUAAAGAUUUGCCCUACACAAGAACUACUUGAAUGAAUAAUAUGAACCAACCACCGAAUAUGAAAUGUUUAACAAGAACACACAAGAACACGCGAUAUAACCCAAGGUUCGGCAACCACCACAAAGGUGUCCUACUCCUCGUUGAGGAACCCACAAAGGGCCGGGUCUUUUCCAACCCUAAUCCUCCACAAGCCGACCACAAAGGUCAAGGCAAUCUCUUCUCAAAUCUGCUUAAGGAGCGGGUGAUACAAACUUCUUGGGGUCGUCCACAAAUUUGGAGACUCCCAAGCAACCUCUAACCGUCAAGGAACACGAGGUUCCAAGAGUAACAAAUCCGCACACGGUUAAGUUUGCAACGAGCUCAAGAACAAGAGAAUGGGAGAAUCGAGAUGAAAUUGACAGCGAGUUCGAUCGAGUUCACCUCACACCAAGGGUCCUUCAAAUGAUUGAAGGAGAUGCGAUUGCGGGUGUGAGAGGUGAAGUGAAUGCUCUUGUUUGAGGGUUGGUCAGCCAAAGAUUCGUGGGAGAGGCAGAAGUAAAUGAGAGAGAGAGUGUGAGGGGGUAUAUAAAGGAUCCCCCAAAAGCUGGCAGCCGUUGGGAGAAAGAGGGCAAAAACCGGUUGAACCGGUUUUCAAACCGGUUGAACCGGUUUCUACCAGGGGGAUCCCGGUCCACUGGUCUACUCAGCCGGACACUGGACCAGUUUCAAAACCGGCUGAGUAGGGUCAAAAUUCGGCUCAACCGGUUUCAGAAAAAUAUCUGCUCCGACUUUUCUGACAGCUCUGACUGUCAGACAGGUCAGAGCAGAGGUGGCAGGAUGAACAGUACCAAAACCGGUUGAACCGGUUUUGGGACCGGUUGAACCGGUUUUGGGGGCUGAAACCAAACUUUGAGAAUUUUGAAGAGAACUUAGGUGGAGACUUUGUGGGAAGUGAAAUUUGUUUUUCUCAAGAGCAUUCAUGAUCUGGGAAAAGAUGAUCUCAAGGAGUUUUCAAAAGAAUUGAACUUGGCUCGUUUCACAACUUACUUAACCGUCGCGGAUCCCUCUUAAUUGUACGGCGAUUCUUAUGACUCAAGAAUUAUAAACUUAGUACCGCCGACGAUUCAUAGCACUUGGAGCACGCCAUUUGAUGUGGAAUUUUAAAUCCGCUGUGCUUUAUACUUUUAUGCUCGUAGGAUCUGUGCUUCUUCUGUCUGUAAAAAUACUGUGUACACACUAGGAGCAAACUUGUUAGAAUCUUAGUUUGUUUUGUCAUUAAUCACCAAAACCCUCAAUUAGGGUUGAUUGCACUUACAGAAGACCAAAUUCUUUUUACUUAGGAUUUAGCAUAUUUGGAUCACUCUUUGCCACCACUUGAUUUGUUUUUGCAAAUCAAAUUUUUUUUCCUAUCUCUAAGUCAAACACGCUUGUUUGUGCUAAUAGAGAUAUUCCAAGAGUGAAAUUUGUCAAGUGCCAAAAACUCCCCCUUUUUCCCGUAAUCAAAAUGCUCCCCGUAAGAGACCAAUUUUUGCAAUACGAGUAUUUUGGACAAAUCACAAAUUCUAACUCUACUAUUUUCAAAAUUCUCAAGUGGUUGCUGAUCCAUUUGCUUUGGCCUUAAUUUCUCCCCCUUUGGCAUUAAGCACCAAAACGGGAUCAUUUUUGGCCCAAGUAACCCCAUUGCCUCACCAAAAUGUCAAAAUAAGAGCCAAAAGGCAAUGAGAGCAUAAGUAUGAACUUGGAAAUAAAUAUACUAAUACCGGAGUGCAGUGGAAGUCUUUUCGUCGUCCAAGUCACUAGUAAGAAUGUGAUCAUCAGUGACGAUUUUCUAGUGACGCUGGUGACUUCAGUCACAGGUUGAUACAUUUCUAUGACCAAAUUUACAUCUUCGUCAAUAAUUACAAGUGACAAAGAUUAGACUUGAAUAUUAAAGACAAAAAUGAAAGGAACGUCAUAGACACAAAGUUUGGACGCAACAAGUUCGUCACAGAUUAGAUUUGAUAUCGUCAUCGCUAAUUUGCCUUGAUAGGCUGACGUAAUGAUGAAAUAAAUUGGUCACAGAUGAGUUUUAGUAAAAAACGCCCCACGUGUACACACCACUUGACGGCGUGGGAUCCUUGGCCUACAUGGGCCGCAGUUUUUUGGGACACAGCCCCCGCCUGGCGACGCGGCCCCGACCCACCAACUGGAAGCGGCAGUUAUUUAUUUGGCAAAAAAAACUUGCGCCCGCGGAGCUUCGAACCAGGGACCUGCGCCUUUCUUUGAAUCGGUGUUACCACCAGACUACUCGCUUGUUCUUGUAUAUAAAGAAAGUAUCGUUCUGUUAACAGGUGUUCCCAUCUGUCGUUCUGUUAACAGGUUUUCCCAGCCGCCAUUCUGCGAUCUGCAUGGCUGUUCGCCUGUUCUGAUUCUGCCUUCUGCGAUCUGCGCUUCUGCGAUCGGCCCUUAGGUUACGGCACACAACGACGCUGGCGUCUGUCGUCGUCUGCUUGAUCGACAACUGGGUAGCGUCGCAGCGAACGAG